ensembl:snRNA U1 U1 spliceosomal RNA
AUACUUACCUGGCAGGGGAGAUACCAUUAUCAGGAAGGUGGUUUCCCCAGGGGGAAGCUCAUCUCAUUGUACUCCAGAUGUGCUGAGCCCUGCACAUGAUUUCCCGAUUUCCCCAAAUGCAGGAAGUUUGACUACAGAAUUUGUGGUAGAGGGGGACUGCAUUCAUGCUUUCUCCUG